AGCGAACGCUGGCGGCAGGCCUAACACAUGCAAGUCGAACGAAGUCUUCGGACUUAGUGGCGGACGGGUGAGUAACACGUGGGAACGUACCUUUUGGUUCGGAACAACUCAGGGAAACUUGAGCUAAUACCGGAUGAGCCCUUAGGGGGAAAGAUUUAUCGUCGAAAGAGCGGCCCGCGUUAGAUUAGCUAGUUGGUGAGGUAAAGGCUCACCAAGGCUACGAUCUAUAGCUGGUCUGAGAGGAUGAUCCGCCACACUGGGACUGAGACACGGCCCAGACUCCUACGGGAGGCAGCAGUGGGGAAUCUUGCGCAAUGGGCGAAAGCCUGACGCAGCCAUGCCGCGUGAAUGAUGAAGGUCUUAGGAUUGUAAAAUUCUUUUACCAGGGACGAUAAUGACGGUACCUGGAGAAAAAGCCCCGGCUAACUACGUGCCAGCAGCCGCCGUAAUAC
rnacentral:rRNA from 1 species